rnacentral:lncRNA from 1 species
CCUGAUGAACCAAACUACUCAGUAAUCUCCUCCAUGAAGACUGGGGAUCAGCCUGAUGAACCAAACUACUCAGUAAUCUCCUCCAUGAAGACUGGAGGUCAGCCUGAUGAACCAAACUACUCAGUAAUCUCCUCCAUGAAGACUGGGGAUCAGCCUGAUGAACCAAACUACUCAGUAAUCUCCUCCAUGAAGACUGGGGAUCAGCCUGAUGAACCAAACUACUCAGUAAUCUCCUCCAUGAAGACUGGAGGUCAGCCUGAUGAACCAAACUACUCAGUAAUCUCCUCCAUGAAGACUGGGGGUCAGCCUGAUGAACCAAACUACUCAGUAAUCUCCUCCAUGAAGACUGGAGGUCAGCCUGAUGAACCAAACUACUCAGUAAUCUCCUCCAUGAAGACUGGAGGUCAGCCUGAUGAACCAAACUACUCAGUAAUC